CACAGCAUUUGUUUCAUGCACAGAGGCCGUUGACUGUUACCUAGGACGUUACAGCUGGGGAGGGGAGGACCCAGUCUUUCCCUCCCUCAGUGAGCUGCACCCUUCCCCUAGAGGAGAACGGAUUCCUGAGGGGGUCCUCCGCCCCAAGGUCUGGAUUCCUCUCUAGAGUUGGCAAACCACACGCGAAACCUCUCCCUCGACCACCAUCCAGAUCAGAAAUGAAGUCUCCUGGAAACUGAGGCUAUAACAAUAUACACACCGACAGACAACAAAUGAGAACUCCU